UACGUAGGGUGCGAGCGUUGUCCGGAUUUAUUGGGCGUAAAGAGCUCGUAGGCGGUUUGUCGCGUCGGCCGUGAAAUCUCCACGCUUAACGUGGAGCGUGCGGUCGAUACGGGCAGACUUGAGUUCGGUAGGGGAGACUGGAAUUCCUGGUGUAGCGGUGAAAUGCGCAGAUAUCAGGAGGAACACCGGUGGCGAAGGCGGGUCUCUGGGCCGAUACUGACCGCUGGAGGAGCGAAAGCGUGGGGAGCAAACAGG
rnacentral:rRNA from 1 species